CAAUAGCGUAUAUUAAAGUCGUUGCAGUUAAAAAGCUCGUAGUUGGAUUUCUGGUGGGAGCGAUCGGUCUGGCGCUUAGCGCGAGUACUUGCAUCGUCUCCGGCCAUCCUUGGGGAGAGUCUGUCUGGCAUUAGGUUGUCGGGCAGAGGAUCCUCAUCGUUUACUGUGAAAAAAUUAGAGUGUUCAAAGCAGGCUUAUGCCGUUGAAUAUAUUAGCAUGGAAUAAUAAGAUAGGACUUUGGUACUAUUUUGUUGGUUUGCGCACCAAAGUAAUGAUUAAUAGGGACAGUUGGGGGUAUUCGUAUUCCGUUGUCGGAGGUGAAAUUCUUGGAUUUACGGAAGACGAACUACUGCGAAAGCAUUUACCAAGGAUGUUUUCAUUAA
rnacentral:rRNA from 1 species